rnacentral:rRNA from 1 species
UACAGAGGUCCCAAGCGUUGUUCGGAUUCAUUGGGGGUAAAGGGUGCGUAGGUGGCUCCAUAAGUCGGGUGUGAAAUUUCGGAGCUUAACUCCGAAACUGCAUUCGAUACUGUGGUGCUUGAGGACUGGAGAUGAGACUGGAAUUCACGGUGUAGCAGUGAAAUGCGUAGAGAUCGUGAGGAAGACCAGUGGCGAAGGCGGGUCUCUGGACAGUUCCUGACACUGAGGCACGAAGGCCAGGGGAGCAAACGGG